rnacentral:rRNA from 1 species
CAGCAGCCGCGGUAAUACGUAGGGCGCAAGCGUUAUCCGGAAUUAUUGGGCGUAAAGAGCUCGUAGGCGGUUUGUCGCGUCUGCCGUGAAAGUCCGGGGCUCAACCCCGGAUCUGCGGUGGGUACGGGCAGACUAGAGUGAUGUAGGGGAGACUGGAAUUCCUGGUGUAGCGGUGAAAUGCGCAGAUAUCAGGAGGAACACCGAUGGCGAAGGCAGGUCUCUGGGCAUUAACUGACGCUGAGGAGCGAAAGCAUGGGGAGCGAACGGGAUUAGAUACCCGCGUAGUCCCUGUCUCUUAUAC